ACGGGUGAGUAACGCGUAGGAAUCUACCUUAGAGAGGGGGACACCCCGAGGAAACUCGGGCUAAUACCGCAUAGACUCGAAAGAGUAAAGCUGGGGCAACCUGGCACUGUAAGAAGAGCCUGCGUCUGAUUAGCUAGUUGGUUAGGUAAAAGCUGACCAAGGCGAUGAUCAGUAACUGGUCUGAGAGGAUGAUCAGUCACACUGGGACUGAGACACGGCCCAGACUCCUACGGGAGGCAGCAGUGGGGAAUAUUGGACAAUGGGGGCAACCCUGAUCCAGCAAUGCCGCGUGUGUGAAGAAGGCCUUCGGGUUGUAAAGCACUUUAGUUGGGGAAGAAGUAUUUUAGUUUAAGAGAUGAAGAUAUUGACGGUACCCAAAGAAUAAGCACCGGCUAACUCUGUGCCAGCAGCCGCGGUAAUACAGAGGGUGCGAGCGUUAAUCGGAGUUACUGGGCGUAAAGGGCGCGUAGGCGGUUGUUUAAGAUGGAUGUGAAAUCCCUGGGCUUAACCUAGGAAUGGCAUACAAGACUGAACAGCUAGAGUACUGUAGAGGGUAGUGGAAUUUCCGGUGUA
rnacentral:rRNA from 1 species